GACGAACGCUGGCGGCGUGCCUAAUACAUGCAAGUUGAGCGCUGAAGGUUGGUACUUGUACCGACUGGAUGAGCAGCGAACGGGUGAGUAACGCGUGGGGAAUCUGCCUUUGAGCGGGGGACAACAUUUGGAAACGAAUGCUAAUACCGCAUAAAAACUUUAAACACAAGUUUUAAGUUUGAAAGAUGCAAUUGCAUCACUCAAAGAUGAUCCCGCGUUGUAUUAGCUAGUUGGUGAGGUAAAGGCUCACCAAGGCGAUGAUACAUAGCCGACCUGAGAGGGGGAUCGGCCACAUUGGGACUGAGACACGGCCCAAACUCCUACGGGAGGCAGCAGUAGGGAAUCUUCCGCAAUGGACGAAAGUCUGACCGAGCAACGCCGCGUGAGUGAAGAAGGGUGUCGGAUCGUAAAACUCUGUUGGUAGAGAAGAACGUUGGUGAGAGUGGAAAGCUCAUCAAGUGACGGUAACUACCCAGAAAGGGACGGCUAACUACGUG
rnacentral:rRNA from 1 species